UGUAUAACAUAACCAAGAGUAGCCGGAAGUCAGAGGAUUGAGCAACUUUCAAAGGACAACAGAAGGAAACAAAAAGGGCGAUACAGGCUGAAAAGAUGAGGUACGA